GUCUAGUAGAGCUGUGUUGUGAUGGGCCUGGUCUAGUAGAGCUGUGUUGUGAUGGGUCUGGUCUAGUAGAGCUGUGUUGGGAUGGGCCAGGUCUAGUAGAGCUGUGUUGGGAUGGGCCAGGUCUAGUAGAGCUGUGUUGUGAUGGGUCUGGUCUAGUAGAGCUGUGUUGGGAUGGGCCAGGUCUAGUAGAGCUGUGUUGUGAUGGGCCUGGUCUAGUAGAGCUGUGUUGUGAUGGGCCAGGUCUAGUAGAGCUGUGUUGUGAUGGGCCAGGUCUAGUAGAGCUGUGUUGUGAUGGGCCUGGUCUAGUAGAGCUGUGUUGUGAUGGGCCAGGUCUAGUAGAGCUGUGUUGUGAUGGGCCGGGUCUAGUAGAGCUGUGUUGUGAUGGGACGGGUCUAGUCGUGCUGUCCUGAGGCGGGUCUGGUCUGGUAAAUAUGUGUUGUGAUGGGCCUGGUCUAGUAGAGCUGUGUUGUGAUGGGACGGGUCUGGUCCAGUAGAGCUGUGUUGUGAUGGGUCUGGUCUAGUAGAGCUGUGUUGUGAUGGGUCUGGUCUAGUAGAGCUGUGUUGUGAUGGGCCAGGUCUAGUAGAGCUGUGUUGUGAUGGGUCUGGUCUAGUAGAGCUGUGUUGUGAUGGGUCUGGUCUAGUAGAGCUGUGUUGUGAUGGGCCUGGUCUAGUAGAGCUGUGUUGUGAUGGGUCUGGUCUAGUAGAGCUGUGUUGGGAUGGGCCAGGUCUAGUAGAGCUGUGUUGUGAUGGGUCUGGUCUAGUAGAGCUGUGUUGGGAUGGGCCAGGUCUAGUAGAGCUGUGUUGUGAUGGGUCUGGUCUAGUAGAGCUGUGUUGGGA
rnacentral:lncRNA from 1 species